rnacentral:rRNA from 1 species
GGGGGAUAUUGCACAAGGGAGGAAACUCUGAUGCAGCGACGCCGCGUGAGGGAAGAAGGUCUUCGGAUUGUAAACCUCUGUCUUUGGGGACGAAGAAAGUGACGGUACCCAAAGAGGAAGCCACGGCUAACUACGUGCCAGCAGCCGCGGUAAUACGUAGGUGGCGAGCGUUGUCCGGAAUUACUGGGUGUAAAGGGUGCGUAGGCGGACUGGCAAGUUGGAUGUGAAAUCUCCGCGCUUAACGUGGAGGUUGCAUUCAAAACUGUUGGUCGUGAGUGAGGCAGAGGCAGGCGGAAUUCCCGGUGUAGCGGUGAAAUGCGUAGAGAUCGGGAGGAACACCAGUGGCGAAGGCGGCCUGCUAGGCCUUAACUGACGCUGAGGCACGAAAGCAUGGGUAGCAAACA